rnacentral:rRNA from 1 species
CAGUAGCCACGGUAAUACGAAGGGGGCUAGCGUUGUUCGGAAUUACUGGGCGUAAAGCGCACGUAGGCGGAUCGAUCAGUCAGGGGUGAAAUCCCAGGGCUCAACCCUGGAACUGCCUUUGAUACUGUCGAUCUGGAGUAUGGAAGAGGUGAGUGGAAUUCCGAGUGUAGAGGUGAAAUUCGUAGAUAUUCGGAGGAACACCAGUGGCGAAGGCGGCUCACUGGUCCAUUACUGACGCUGAGGUGCGAAAGCGUGGGGAGCAAACAGGAUUAGAUACCCCAGUAGUCCCUGUCUCUUAUAC